CUGCCACCCCACCUCCCAGACAGACACUGAUUUAUGCAGAAAAACACGACCAUCGGGAGAGCAGAAGCAGGGUGUGUUCGCGGUUAGCCAUCUCACAAGCAUCUCCGUCGAAGCAGAACGUUUCUCCUCUAAAACCGCACGCACCUCCCACGCCCCGAGCCUGGUUCCCCACGCCACCCUGUGUCUCCAGGGACCAUUUUCCUCUCAAACCUCUAGGUUCCUUCCAAAGCCUUCGCUUCGCCCGCCCCUCCCUCCUAGUCCUCUUCCUGGAAAAGGGUUCUCAUGCCGCAUCCUCAUUGAUUUCCUUCUUCAUCACUUACAGUCUGAUGCCAUAGGGGGACCGAGUCCCUGGUGGACAGGAGCAAGCAUGCCUGGAUGUGCCUCAGAGUCCUCCACAGGGCUGUGCGGCAGGACAUUCCUCUCAGACUCCCGCUGAUGGCAGGAGCUGCCACUCACACAGCCCUCACCCAGCUGUGCCGCCUCCCCCGAGGGCUGUGUCCCCCUCUGACAGCUGUGUCUCCCCUCCCCCUGAUGGCUGUGUCCCUCUCCCCCCAUAGCUGUGUCCCCCUCCCCCUCCCUCCAAGGGCUGUGUCCCUCUGAAGAAUGGGCCCUUCCCUGGUAAGCUAUCGCCAACACAGUGGUCCGUCCAUAUCGCUAACACACGGAGAGCCACGUACCAGCAGUCAGUGUCACUGUUGAAUUGACAUUUAACUGUCAGCCAAAAACCUUCUAUCAUGAUGUUUUUGCCUUUCUUCUUUUUUUUACACUUAGAACUAGAGGCCCAGCGCAUGAUUAAAUCGAGUACAUGUAGGGUCCCAUAGGCCUACCUGCCAUCAGGUCCAUGUCUGCCGCCCCGCGACGCCUCACAAACUCCGCAGACGCUGCCGGCACCCCGUGAUGCUCCAGAAGUCCCACCCACCGUGGCCGCUGCGGGACCCACAAUGCACCUCCUGAUCCAGUCACUCAAUAUAAUUUGAUUUCUGGAUCUGGAAUCUCCCAGCUGGUCACACACAGAGCUGACAGCGUUGCCUUUUAAAAUUAGGAUGUUGGAUGGGCCAAGGACAAAGUCUGCAGGUGCCACAGGCUUCCUCCCAACUCAGCAAAGCUCAGUGGUCACCACUGUUUAGGCACAACCGUCCAACACUAAUGAUUGUGACUGAGGCGGUUAAAGUGCGGACAUAUUAUUAUUCAUCAUCAAAGAAUGUGGGAGCUAUAAGUGUAACCAAAACAAUCUCUAUUUCCAGGUCAGUUUUGAAAGCAUUGGCUUGUUUGUGUGUGUGUGUGUUGUUUUGUUUUCAUUUAAAAUGUAUAUUUUGAUGUCAGCACAUUAUUUUGACAAUGAGGGUAUUAAAUAUUAAAGGGCCCUUCUCCUCUCACAUAGAAACAGAAGCACUGCUCAAGCUCUGCCUGUGACACCCUUGUAGAAAGAAUCCCCAAAUUCAACAUUGGAAAACAAACAAAUCUUGGAAAAUUAAAGAUUAAACAGAAAACAACCCUAAAACCUUAAGUAAUAUUUUAGA